GCUUGAAAGGGAGAAAAGACUAGAUGUUAUUCUAGAUCGCAACCUAAAUCGGAACUACGACAUCCAAGAAGUGGAGAUGAUGAUCCAAGUUGCAUUGCUCUGUACACAACCAUCACCAGGCGAUCGUCCAGCAAUGUCAGAGGUGGUUCGGAUGCUUGAAGGAGAGGGGCUGGCUGAGAGAUGGGAAGAAUGGCAGCAUGUGGAAGUUAGUCGUCGACAGGAGGCUGAGCGGCUGCAAAGAAGAUUUGACUGUAGGGAAGAUUCACUCUAUCACCAUGAUGCUAUUGAAUUGUCUGGUGGAAGAUGAGGAAAAAGAACCAUGCCUUGAAUAUUUUUGGAUGGAUUUCUGGUUCCAGCUUUUCUCCUUCGCUAAAUUUUAUUUGGAA